GGGUUGUGAGGUUAAGCGACUAAGCGUACACGGUGGAUGCCCUGGCAGUCAGAGGCGAUGAAGGACGUGCUAAUCUGCGAUAAGCGUCGGUAAGGUGAUAUGAACCGUUAUAACCGGCGAUUUCCGAAUGGGGAAACCCAGUGUGAUUCGUCACACUAUCAUUAACUGAAUCCAUAGGUUAAUGAGGCGAACCGGGGGAACUGAAACAUCUAAGUACCCCGAGGAAAAGAAAUCAACCGAGAUUCCCCCAGUAGCGGCGAGCGAACGGGGAGCAGCCCAGAGCCUGAAUCAGUGUGUGUGUUAGUGGAAGCGUCUGGAAAGGCGCGCGAUACAGGGUGACAGCCCCGUACACAAAAAUGCACAUACUGUGAGCUCGAUGAGUAGGGCGGGACACGUGGUAUCCUGUCUGAAUAUGGGGGGACCAUCCUCCAAGGCUAAAUACUCCUGACUGACCGAUAGUGAACCAGUACCGUGAGGGAAAGGCGAAAAGAACCCCGGCGAGGGGAGUGAAAAAGAACCUGAAACCGUGUACGUACAAGCAGUGGGAGCACAGAGCAAUCUGUGUGACUGCGUACCUUUUGUAUAAUGGGUCAGCGACUUAUAUUCUGUAGCAAGGUUAACCGAAUAGGGGAGCCGAAGGGAAACCGAGUCUUAACUGGGCGUUAAGUUGCAGGGUAUAGACCCGAAACCCGGUGAUCUAGCCAUGGGCAGGUUGAAGGUUGGGUAACACUAACUGGAGGACCGAACCGACUAAUGUUGAAAAAUUAGCGGAUGACUUGUGGCUGGGGGUGAAAGGCCAAUCAAACCGGGAGAUAGCUGGUUCUCCCCGAAAGCUAUUUAGGUAGCGCCUCGUGAAUUCAUCUCCGGGGGUAGAGCACUGUUUCGGCAAGGGGGUCAUCCCGACUUACCAACCCGAUGCAAACUGCGAAUACCGGAGAAUGUUAUCACGGGAGACACACGGCGGGUGCUAACGUCCGUCGUGAAGAGGGAAACAACCCAGACCGCCAGCUAAGGUCCCAAAGUCAUGGUUAAGUGGGAAACGAUGUGGGAAGGCCCAGACAGCCAGGAUGUUGGCUUAGAAGCAGCCAUCAUUUAAAGAAAGCGUAAUAGCUCACUGGUCGAGUCGGCCUGCGCGGAAGAUGUAACGGGGCUAAACCAUGCACCGAAGCUGCGGCAGCGACGCUUAUGCGUUGUUGGGUAGGGGAGCGUUCUGUAAGCCUGCGAAGGUGUGCUGUGAGGCAUGCUGGAGGUAUCAGAAGUGCGAAUGCUGACAUAAGUAACGAUAAAGCGGGUGAAAAGCCCGCUCGCCGGAAGACCAAGGGUUCCUGUCCAACGUUAAUCGGGGCAGGGUGAGUCGACCCCUAAGGCGAGGCCGAAAGGCGUAGUCGAUGGGAAACAGGUUAAUAUUCCUGUACUUGGUGUUACUGCGAAGGGGGGACGGAGAAGGCUAUGUUGGCCGGGCGACGGUUGUCCCGGUUUAAGCGUGUAGGCUGGUUUUCCAGGCAAAUCCGGAAAAUCAAGGCUGAGGCGUGAUGACGAGGCACUACGGUGCUGAAGCAACAAAUGCCCUGCUUCCAGGAAAAGCCUCUAAGCAUCAGGUAACAUCAAAUCGUACCCCAAACCGACACAGGUGGUCAGGUAGAGAAUACCAAGGCGCUUGAGAGAACUCGGGUGAAGGAACUAGGCAAAAUGGUGCCGUAACUUCGGGAGAAGGCACGCUGAUAUGUAGGUGAAGUCCCUCGCGGAUGGAGCUGAAAUCAGUCGAAGAUACCAGCUGGCUGCAACUGUUUAUUAAAAACACAGCACUGUGCAAACACGAAAGUGGACGUAUACGGUGUGACGCCUGCCCGGUGCCGGAAGGUUAAUUGAUGGGGUUAGCGCAAGCGAAGCUCUUGAUCGAAGCCCCGGUAAACGGCGGCCGUAACUAUAACGGUCCUAAGGUAGCGAAAUUCCUUGUCGGGUAAGUUCCGACCUGCACGAAUGGCGUAAUGAUGGCCAGGCUGUCUCCACCCGAGACUCAGUGAAAUUGAACUCGCUGUGAAGAUGCAGUGUACCCGCGGCAAGACGGAAAGACCCCGUGAACCUUUACUAUAGCUUGACACUGAACAUUGAGCCUUGAUGUGUAGGAUAGGUGGGAGGCUUUGAAGUGUGGACGCCAGUCUGCAUGGAGCCGACCUUGAAAUACCACCCUUUAAUGUUUGAUGUUCUAACGUUGACCCGUAAUCCGGGUUGCGGACAGUGUCUGGUGGGUAGUUUGACUGGGGCGGUCUCCUCCUAAAGAGUAACGGAGGAGCACGAAGGUUGGCUAAUCCUGGUCGGACAUCAGGAGGUUAGUGCAAUGGCAUAAGCCAGCUUGACUGCGAGCGUGACGGCGCGAGCAGGUGCGAAAGCAGGUCAUAGUGAUCCGGUGGUUCUGAAUGGAAGGGCCAUCGCUCAACGGAUAAAAGGUACUCCGGGGAUAACAGGCUGAUACCGCCCAAGAGUUCAUAUCGACGGCGGUGUUUGGCACCUCGAUGUCGGCUCAUCACAUCCUGGGGCUGAAGUAGGUCCCAAGGGUAUGGCUGUUCGCCAUUUAAAGUGGUACGCGAGCUGGGUUUAGAACGUCGUGAGACAGUUCGGUCCCUAUCUGCCGUGGGCGCUGGAGAACUGAGGGGGGCUGCUCCUAGUACGAGAGGACCGGAGUGGACGCAUCACUGGUGUUCGGGUUGUCAUGCCAAUGGCACUGCCCGGUAGCUAAAUGCGGAAGAGAUAAGUGCUGAAAGCAUCUAAGCACGAAACUUGCCCCGAGAUGAGUUCUCCCUGACUCCUUGAGAGUCCUGAAGGAACGUUGAAGACGACGACGUUGAUAGGCCGGGUGUGUAAGCGCAGCGAUGCGUUGAGCUAACCGGUACUAAUGAACCGUGAGGCUUAACCUUACAACGCCGAAG
rnacentral:rRNA from 1 species